AAGGAGCAGCUCUGUUGCGACAUAGGCCGAGCAGCGAGGCCCAGCUCCCUGAAACAACAGUAACCUACCCCUGUGGGUCAUCAUCAUGCCCUCCGACCUGGCCAAGAAGAAGGCAGCCAAAAAGAAGGAGGCUGCCAAAGCUCGACAGCGGCCCAGAAAAGGACAUGAAGAAAAUGGAGAUGUUGUCACAGAACCACAGGUGGCAGAGAAGAAUGAGGCCAAUGGCAGAGAGACCACAGAAGUAGAUUUGCUGACCAAGGAGCUAGAGGACUUUGAGAUGAAGAAAGCUGCUGCUCGAGCUGUCACUGGCGUCCUGGCCUCUCACCCCAACAGUACUGAUGUUCACAUCAUCAACCUCUCACUUACCUUUCAUGGUCAAGAGCUGCUCAGUGACACCAAACUGGAAUUAAACUCAGGCCGUCGUUAUGGCCUCAUUGGUUUAAAUGGAAUUGGAAAGUCCAUGCUGCUCUCUGCUAUUGGGAAGCGUGAAGUGCCCAUCCCUGAGCACAUCGACAUCUACCAUCUGACUCGAGAGAUGCCCCCUAGUGACAAGACACCCUUGCAUUGUGUGAUGGAAGUCGACACAGAGCGGGCCAUGCUGGAGAAAGAGGCAGAGCGGCUGGCUCAUGAGGAUGCGGAGUGUGAGAAGCUCAUGGAGCUCUACGAGCGCCUGGAGGAGCUGGAUGCCGACAAGGCAGAGAUGAGGGCCUCGCGGAUCUUGCAUGGACUGGGUUUCACACCUGCCAUGCAGCGCAAGAAGCUAAAAGACUUCAGUGGGGGCUGGAGGAUGAGGGUUGCCCUUGCCAGAGCCCUCUUUAUUCGGCCCUUCAUGCUGCUCCUGGAUGAGCCUACCAACCACCUGGACCUAGAUGCUUGCGUGUGGUUGGAAGAAGAACUAAAAACUUUUAAGCGCAUCUUGGUCCUCGUCUCCCAUUCCCAGGAUUUUCUGAAUGGUGUCUGUACCAAUAUCAUUCACAUGCACAACAAGAAACUGAAGUAUUAUACGGGUAAUUAUGAUCAGUACGUGAAGACGCGGCUAGAGCUGGAGGAGAACCAGAUGAAGAGGUUUCACUGGGAGCAAGAUCAGAUUGCACACAUGAAGAACUACAUUGCGAGGUUUGGUCAUGGCAGUGCCAAGCUGGCCCGGCAGGCCCAGAGCAAGGAGAAGACGCUACAGAAAAUGAUGGCAUCAGGACUGACAGAGAGGGUCGUGAGCGAUAAGACACUGUCAUUUUAUUUCCCACCAUGUGGCAAGAUCCCUCCACCUGUCAUUAUGGUGCAAAAUGUGAGCUUCAAGUAUACAAAAGAUGGGCCUUGCAUCUACAAUAAUCUAGAAUUUGGAAUUGACCUUGACACACGAGUGGCUCUGGUAGGGCCCAAUGGAGCAGGGAAGUCAACUCUUCUGAAGCUGCUAACUGGAGAGCUACUACCCACAGAUGGCAUGAUCCGAAAACACUCUCAUGUCAAGAUAGGGCGUUACCAUCAGCAUUUACAAGAGCAGCUGGACUUAGAUCUCUCACCUUUGGAGUACAUGAUGAAGUGCUACCCAGAGAUCAAGGAGAAGGAAGAAAUGAGGAAGAUCAUUGGGCGAUACGGUCUCACUGGGAAACAACAGGUGAGCCCAAUCCGGAACUUGUCAGACGGGCAGAAGUGCCGAGUGUGUCUGGCCUGGCUGGCCUGGCAGAACCCCCACAUGCUCUUCCUGGAUGAACCCACCAAUCACCUGGAUAUCGAGACCAUCGACGCCCUGGCAGAUGCCAUCAAUGAGUUUGAGGGUGGUAUGAUGCUGGUCAGCCAUGACUUCAGACUCAUUCAGCAGGUUGCACAGGAAAUUUGGGUCUGUGAGAAGCAGACAAUCACCAAGUGGCCUGGAGACAUCCUGGCUUACAAGGAGCACCUCAAGUCCAAGCUGGUGGAUGAGGAGCCCCAGCUCACCAAGAGGACCCACAACGUGUGCUAAGUGAGACAAUUGACUUUCUCCAUUUUGCAAUGGGCUUUUCUUCCCUUUACUGCUAACUCCCAAGACCGCCACGUCUGCUUUUCUGGUGCACCCUGACAUUGGCAUCUCUGCCAAGGCCAUGAGCAUCAUGAACUCGUUUGUAAACGACGUGUUUGAGCAGCUGGCGUGUGAGGCUGCCCGGCUGGCCCAGUACUCGGGCCGGACCACCCUGACAUCCCGAGAAGUCCAGACGGCUGUGCGUCUGCUGCUGCCUGGGGAGCUGGCCAAGCACGCUGUGUCUGAGGGCACCAAGGCUGUCACCAAGUACACCAGCUCCAAGUGACCCAGGGCCUGACAAAAAUAAAGGGUGAACUGUU